UACGAAGGGUGCAAGCGUUACUCGGAAUUACUGGGCGUAAAGGGUGCGUAGGUGGUUGUUUAAGUCUGCUGUGAAAGCCCCGGGCUCAACCUGGGAAUGGCAGUGGAUACUGGACAGCUAGAGUGCGGUAGAGGGUAGUGGAAUUCCCGGUGUAGCAGUGAAAUGCGUAGAUAUCAAGAGGAACACCAGUGGCGAAGGCGAGUCCCUGGACAAUACCUGACACUGAGGCACGAAAGCCAAGGGAGCAAACAGG
rnacentral:rRNA from 1 species